rnacentral:sRNA from 1 species
GCGACAUUAUUUAAAGCAAACGUGCAAUUUACACUGAAAUAUCUUUGAAAAGGUUUCGAGACGUAAAAUAUUCCCCAGAAUUGAAGUAUAUUGCAGGAUUUGACUAGUGAAGGAGAAUAAGACGAAGAAAAAGGAGGAUGGUUGUUCUCCCCAACUUCGAAGGGGAUGGGACUGGCAGGGAUGAUCCGAGAUAUGGAUGUGAUGACCGGCGAUAGACCCCUUGUCGCCAGUGAGAGAUCAGUAAAUCAGCUUUCCCCGGGACCUAAAAAUGGUUGGACACAAAGGAUGGGAAGUUUGGAGGCUUUCAUAAAAGCGGAUUCAAUCCAUUCCAU